GACGUAGGGUGCAAGCGUUGCUCGGAAUUACUGGGCGUAAAGGGCGCGUAGGCGGCUUGGUAAGCGGGAUGUGAAAGCCCCCGGCUCAACCGGGGAAGAGCAUUCCGAACUGCCUUGCUUGAGUUCGAGAGAGGGUGGUGGAAUUCCCGGUGGAACGGUGAAAUGUGUAGAUAUCGGGAGGAACAUCUGUGGCGAAGGCGGCCACCUGGCUCGAUACUGACGCUGAAGCGCGAAAGCGUGGGUAGCAAACAGG
rnacentral:rRNA from 1 species